rnacentral:rRNA from 1 species
GACGAACGCUGGUGGCGUGCUUAACACAUGCAAGUCGAACGGUAAGGCCCUUCGGGGUACACGAGUGGCGAACGGGUGAGUAACACGUGGGUGAUCUGCCCUGCACUUCGGGAUAAGACUGGGAAACUGGGUCUAAUACCGGAUAGGACCACUGCCUGCAUGGGGGGUGGUGGAAAGCUUUUGCGGUGUGGGAUGGGCCCGCGGCCGAUUAGCUUGUUGGUGGGGUGAUGGCCUACCAAGGCGACGACGGGUAGCCGGCCUGAGAGGGUGACCGGCCACACGGGGACUGAGAUACGGCCCAGACUCCUACGGGAGGCAGCAGUGGGGAAUAUUGCACAAUGGGCGCAAGCCUGAUGCAGCGACGCCGCGUGAGGGAUGACGGCCUUCGGGUUGUAAACCUCUUUCAGCACCGACGAAGCGCAAGUGACGGUAGGUGCAGAAGAAGGACCGGCCAACUACGUGCCAGCAGCCGCGGUAA